CUGGCUUGGGCAGUGCUUUGCAAGCAGUGUGAAUGACACUCCAGUGGCUUGCUAAUGGGUGGCAGAUGUGUCCAGAGCAUCUCAAGAUUCACAGAGCUUUCGAGCUGCAGGAACUUGCAGAGUACCAACCCAGUCACGUGACCAUUUUGGAGAUGAAGAAACGGGCAUGGAAAAGUGAUGCAAUUUGCUGAAGUCCACAAGGUGUGGACUACAAUGCUACUCUUCUGGAUCAUGAAAACAUCAGAGUGAACAGGCAACCUACAGAAUGGGAGGAAAUUUUUGCAAUCUGCCCAUCUGACAAAGGGCUAAUAUCCUGAAUCUACAAAGAACUUAAACAAAUUUACAAGAAAAAAACAACCCCAUCAAAAAGGGUGCAAAGGAUAUGAACAGACACUUCUCAAAAGAAGACAUUUAUGCAGCCAACAGACACAUGAAAAAAUGCUCAUCAUCACUGGUCAUCAGAGAAAUGCAAAUCAAAACCACAAUGAGAUACCAUCCCACACCAGUUAGAAUGGCAAUCAUUAAAAGUCAGGAAACAACAGAUGCUGGAGAGGAUGCGGAGAAAUAGGAACACUUUUACACUGUUGGUGGGAGCGUGAACUAGUUCAACGAUUGUGGAAGACAGUGUGGCGAUUCCUCAAGGAUCUAGAACUAGAAAUACCAUUUGACCUAGUGAUCCCACUACUGGGUACAUACCCAAAGGAUUAUAAAUCAAUCUACUAUAAAGACACAUGCACACAUAUGUUUAUUGCAGCACUAUUCACAACAGCAAAGACUUGGAACCAACCCAAAUGUCCAUCAGUGAUAGACUGGAUUAAGAAAAUGUGGCACAUAUACACCAUGGAAUACUAUGCAGCCAUAAAAAUGGAUGAGUUCAUGUUCUUUGCAGGGACACGGAUGCAGCUGGAAACCAUCAUUCUGAGCAAACUAUCACAAGGGCAGAAAACCAAACACCACAUGUUCUCACUCAUAGGUUGGAACUGAACAAUGAGAACACUUGGACACAGGGCGAGGAACAUCACACAUUGGGGCCUGUCAGGGGGUGGGGGGCAGGGGGAGGGAUAGCAUUAGGAGAAAUACCUAAUGUAAAUGACAAGUUAAUGGGUGCAGCAAAGCAACAUGGCACAUGUAUACCUAGGUAGCAAACCUGCACAUUGUGCACAUGUACCCUAGAACUUAAUGCAUAACAAAAAAUUAAAAAUUAAAAAAUAAAGAAAACUGGGCUUUUUUUUAAGUGGGAAAAAGAAACGGGGACAAGUUAGUGCCAAAUAAGGAUUUUAAAAAAUCAAAUAGGCAGGAAACAAUAUAAUGUAUUGUCCAAUCUGGAAUACUUUUGAGAGUAAAGAAGAAGUGCUAUUAAUAAUUCUCCCUGGUCUGGAAGCUUAAGCCUGGACGAGCUUGAGCACCUGACUGUGAAGGGUGAUGUGUAAAGGGGGCUCUCCCCAUUCCCACCACUCUGCUCCCAGCUCCUGCCCACAUGGUUCAGUUCCCGGAACUUGCUGGUGGCAGUUGUGGGACCCCAGGCAUAGUGAGAUUCUCAAUUAGUUAUUGGUUCUGAUACAGAAUCUUGCAUUUAUAUCAAGAUUUGGAGUUGGGUGGGGCUGGGAAAG
rnacentral:lncRNA from 10 species